rnacentral:rRNA from 1 species
AUUGAACGCUGGCGGCAGGCCUAACACAUGCAAGUCGAGCGAGCGGCGGACGGGUGAGUAAUGUAUGGGGAACUGCCCGAUGGAGGGGGAUAACUACUGGAAACGGUAGCUAAUACCGCAUACCAUCAGAUGUGCCCAGAGGGGAUUAGCUCGUAGGUAGGGUAAUGGCUUACCUAGGCGACGAUCCCUAGCUGGUCUGAGAGGAUGAUCAGCCACACUGGAACUGAGACACGGUCCAGACUCCUACGGGAGGCAGCAGUGGGGAAUAUUGCACAAUGGGCGCAAGCCUGAUGCAGCCAUGCCGCGUGUAUGAAGAAGGCCUUAGGGUUGUAAAGCACUUUCAGCGGGGAGGCGUUACCCGCAGAAGAAGCACCGGCUAACUCCGUGCCAGCAGCCGCGGUAAUAC